rnacentral:lncRNA from 10 species
GCUGGUUUCUCUGAAAGUCUCGGCCCUGGGCCAGUGUUUUAUUUCUUUCUGGGAUGGGCCCCUAUCUAGGAGUUUUUUUUCCCUUGGAACCUUGGAGAAUGACUCAUGAGGACUUUCAAUGGGCAGCAAGUGCCCUGGUGACAUAGGGUCACAUCCUGUUACUCAAGAAGGCAGGUCCUGGGUAGAUCCCAGGGAGGUGAGUUGGUGGGGGAUAAAGAGCUCCUGUGUGGCCAGCAGCUGGCUGCAGUUCCCCAGGAAACAGCUUCCGGCAGACACUCAAUCUCCAGUUGUAACAGGUGGUGUGGAGUCCGCUGUCCCAGGGAGUGGGCUCAAGGCCUAGUCCUGCCAAUGAACUUGCUGUAGAAACUUUUCUGUCUAUCAAAUGAGGUUGGAAUGCACUGGUGCAAUAAUUGCUCACUGCAGCCAUGACCUCCCAUGCUCAAGCAAUCCUCCCACCUCAGCCUCCCACGUAGCUGGGACUACAGGUGAGUGCCACCAUACCCGACUAAUUUUUGUAUUUUUUGUAGAGAUGGAGUUUUGCCAUGUUGCCCAGGCUGGUCUCCAACUCCUGGGCUCAAGUGAUCCUCCGACCUCGGCCUCCCAAACUGCUGGGAUUACAGUCUUGAGCCACUGCACCCGGCCUAUUCUCACUUUCUGAAUGGCUUUGGGCAAGUCACAAUCUCUGUGUGCUUCAGUUUCUUCUCUGAAGUGGGAAUGGCAAGCUGGACACCCUGAGCGUGUGUCUGUAGUCCCAGCUUCUGGGGCUGAGGCCAGGGGUUCAAGGCUAUAGUGUGCCAUGAUCACUCCUACGAAUAGCCAGUGCACCCCAACUCGAAAAAAAUUUAAAAGACCAGGCAUAGUGGCUCACACCUAUAAUCCCAGUACUUUGGGAGGCCAAGGUGAGAGGAUCACUUGAGCCCAGGAGUUGGAGACCAACCUGGGCAACAUAAUGAGACUCUGUCUCAUUUAUAACGACAACAACAACAAAAGGUAAAAAAUAAACAGUGGGGGCUCAUGUGAGAAAAGCUAUAAAAACAGAGAAUAUUGGCUGUUAAAUAUUGAUGUUUGCAGGUUGUCAGGAAAGGAAUCUUGUAGAGAAUAUAGAACUCCUGGCCCCUUUCCUAAAGGUUCUGAUGCAGUGGGUCUGGCAUGGGGCCAGGCCUCUGUUAGCAAGGGCCCCAGUGACGUUUAUCAGUUAGCGAAUUUGAAAAUCACUGUCUUAGGCCGGGCGCGGUGGCUCAUGUCUGUAAUCUCAGCACUUUGAGAGGCCGAGGCAGGUGCAUCACCUGAGGUCAGGAGUUCCAGAUCAGCCUGGUCAACACAGUGAUACCCCGUCUCUACUAAAAAUACAAAAAAUUAGCUGGGUGUGGUGGCAGGCACCUAUAAUACCAGCUACUCGGGAGGCUGAGGCAGGAGAAUUGCUUGAACCCGGGAGGCCGAGGUUGCAGUGAGCCAAGAUCAUGCCACUGCACUCCAGCCUAGGCAACAAGAGUGAAACUCCAUCUCAAAAAAAAAAAAAAAAAAAAAAAAGGAAAAGAAAAUCACUGGCUUGGGAGAAAUUCCAAUUCCUGACUUUGCCCCUUAUACCUGAACAAGUCAUCACACUUCCAUAAUCCUGAUUUCCUCAUCUCUAAAAUAAUAAUAAUAUGGCUGGACACAGUGGCUCACACCUGUAAUCCUAACACUUUGGAAGGCCGAGGCAGGUGGAUCACUUGAGGUCAGAAUUUCGAGACCAGCCUGGGCAACAUGGUGAAACCCUGUCUCUACUAAAAAUACAAAAUAAUUAGCCGGGCGUGGUGGCAGACAUCUGUAAUUCCAGCUACUCGGGAGGAUGAGGCAGGAGAAUCGCUUGAAUCCGGCAGGCAGAAGUUGCAGUGAGCCAAGAUAGUGCCACUGCACUCCAGCCUGGGUACCAGAGCAAGACUGUCUCAAAAAAUAAAAAAAUAAAUAAUAAUAAUAAUAAUAAAAAUAUUACUAACCUCAGUGGUUCCUAGUAGGAGUUGACGACGGUUCUCAACCGAGGGUGAUUUUUUUUUCCCCAGAGGAUAUUUGACAAUGUCUGGAGAAAGUUUUGGUUACAACCAGGUGUGGUGUUGCCCCUGGCAUCUGUGAAUGGAGGCCAGGGAUGUUGCUAACCAUCAGACAACACACAGGACAGCCCCCGAAGCAAAGAAUGAGCCAGCCCAAAAUGUCAGUAGCGCCAAGGUUGGGAAACUCUGGGUUAAACUUAUUAAUGCACCAUGUGCUCUCAGGAGGGUAGAGGCCAAGAAGCAUUUUCUGUUGACUUAGCACAAACAAAGUUGCCCACAACAUAAAGGGCUUUCCCAGUCCAGGAAAAUGGAGUAAAGUGCUGGGUGUGAAGAAGGUCAGAGCCAGAGUGAGACCCAUUGUUCUGCAUGAGAGGGGGUGGGGAGAGUGGCAGUGACGCCAGAAAUCUCUGAGUGUGACUCACUGAGAGAAGCCAGCUGGAUGGCAGGGUUGCCAGAGCCUUUGUUCCAAGCUGCAUUUGAGUAGUGAGCUUGAGGUUUUUCCACAGAAGCUUCUCCAUUUCCACCUUUGCAAACUCUGGACUCCAAGGACGCAAGAUGGCCGGAAACAAGAUGGUGGAGCAUGAAGGCCCUUGCCAGAUGACAGCACUAUGCCCUUGGACUCCCCAGCCUCCAUAACCAUGGGCCAAAUAAACUUCUAUUGUUUUAAAUUGCCCAGUCUGUGGUAUUCUAUCAUAACAGCACAAAAUAGACUAAAACAAUGCUCUACACUGGCUGCCAGAGUUCCCUGAUGGGAUUGUGCUCCAGUUGUCCACAGUAGUAACUUGCUGGAUAAUACUUCCUGUUUCCGCAGGCUUCUCUUCUCUGUCUCAUUCCCUCAAUCCCCUAAUGGUGCUUUCUGGGAUCAUCUCCCAAAUAAUCCACUUGCACCUCAAAUCCUCAUCUCAGAGUCUGCUUCUGAGGGAGCCCAAACAAAGGCAUGAAACCUUUCCCAUUCCCCAGUCUCAGUCUAUAUGGUUAAAGUGGGCCUGAACCCCAUUCUAGGAUGGGUCAGACUCAGGUCUGACCAAUGACACCACCAUACCUCUUUUAGGUACAGGGAUGGUUCAGGGAUGACCAUUUGAACUCAAAC